ACCCUUUUCUCAGCUACUAUAUGUUAGAAAGGAUGACAUUAUGGCGAAAAAAUGCCCCAUUUUCUUUGGUUAUUCCAAAAGACACCUAUUUCAUUUAAGGAAGCAGACCUAUUGCUAUCUCCUAGCACUGGAGAGGCUCAUAUUACCUGGCCAGUCUUGUGAGUCCUUACCAGAUAUGCAGCCCAACCACUUUCUUAAAGUAUUUAAAUUCCUCUUUGUCUUCUUUAAUGACUAUCAUUGAUCUGGACCAUAACUGUUUCCUGAAAAUGAAGACUGAUGCCAAAAUGUUAGUAUAUUCUUCCUUUUUCUCCUGAGCCUGAUAACACCCUUGAAAGGGAAGCUGAGAGCUUGGCAGGAGAUCUUGAGGACUUGGAUGCUGUAUCUCACAUUUGAACCAUCUUUUUGUCUGGAGCAUCUCCACUAUGGGCUACUCAAGAAUUGAGCCAAAGCUCUCACAUCUUCCAUGAACAGGAAACAGGAAAUAACCAUCACUGCAAAUGAUGCAAUAAAGAAUACUGAACUUCUUGGUAAACAAUUUCAAAACUUAGCACACAGAGCUCCACAACUGACUGGCACUUGAUCUAAUCUUGUGCCAUUUGGAAGUGACUGCCACAUAUGUAUUCCUCCAAAUCCUUUAUUACAUGAAUGCUUUACCUAGAUACAGAGAUGUAACCGGGCCUCCUCUAGCUGACUCAGCCUGCAUUCAGUUGCUAUGUUGAGACAAAUUUCACAUCUGGCACAGUUACACAAUAUAGACAAUAAAACAUGAAUAAAGUAUGCAGACUAGAAAAGCUUCCACAUAGAAAUGGUAAAAAGGACAAAAUUGCAGAUCAUGCAGCCAAAACCACAAUGUACCUUUGAACAGUCUUUCUCUUUUGCUUGUUGUCCUCUGUCUUCUCUCUCUUGCCCUCUCCUCUACUCCCUCCUCUUUACUUCCCUUCCUUUCCUCUCCUUCUCCCUCAUCCCUCAUUAUGUCCCAUUUCUCUGGGCUCCUUUGUGAUUUCUCUAAAUCCAUAACCACCCCUCUUCCCUUAGCAAAACAAAAUAUCUCAUCCAGAAUCCAUCUUCCUUAGAAAGUAUGAAAAUAGUGUGGGAUGGAUUAGUGACAACUCUUUACUUUUUUUUUUUUUUUAAGUUUUAAUUUUAGCUUAUGUAUUUUUAUUUUUUUUUAAAGAUUUUUAGCUAAACUCUACAUCCAGUAUGGGGCUUGAACUCACAACCCAAAAUCAAGAACUGCAUGCUCCACCAACUAAGUCAGCCAUGCACCCCUAGUCCCAUUUUUUUUUUUUAAUUGCGAGGGUGAGGGGUUAGUUCAUUUUAAAUCUUUUUAAAAAUGUUGUAUUAAUUAUAUAUUUUCAAAUUAAAAUUAAUUCAGUUUUUCCUUUUUCAGUCACUUUUUUUAAAGAUUUAUUUAUUUAUUUAUGAUAGAGAGAGAGGCAGAGACACAGGCAGAGGGAGAAGCAGGCUCCAUGCCAGGAGCCCAACGCAGGACUCGAUCCCAGGACUCCAGGAUCAUACCCUGGGCCAAAGGCAGGCGUCAAACUGCUGAGCCACCCAGGGAUCCCUUUUUUUUUUUUUUUAAUAUUUAUUUAUUUAUUUAUGAUAGACAGAGAGAGACCUUUUUCAGUCACUUUUAUUUAUUUAUUUUUUUUUCAGUCACUUUUAAACCUUUUGUUCCCACACAUGUAUUUCCACUGGAUUCUGGGCAAGCUAUGUUACUUUCCUGUCAUCUAGCAGAUGUCAUGAGUGAAAGGAAUUGCAAAAAAAAAAAAAAAA
rnacentral:lncRNA from 1 species